rnacentral:rRNA from 1 species
AGUGAACGCUGGCGGUAGGCCUAACACAUGCAAGUCGAACGGCAGCACAGUAAGAGCUUGCUCUUACGGGUGGCGAGUGGCGGACGGGUGAGGAAUACAUCGGAAUCUACUUUUUCGUGGGGGAUAACGUAGGGAAACUUACGCUAAUACCUCAUACGACCUACGGGUGAAAGCAGGGGAUCUUCGGACCUUGCGCGAUUGAAUGAGCCGAUGUCGGAUUAGCUAGUUGGCGGGGUAAAGGCCCACCAAGGCGAGGUUCCGUAGCUGGUCUGAGAGGAUGAUCAGCCAAACUGGAACUGAGACACGGUCCAGACUCCUACGGGAGGCAGCAGUGGGGAAUAUUGGACAAUGGGCGCAAGCCUGAUCCAGCCAUACCGCGUGGGGGAAGAAGGCCUUCGGGUUGUAAAGCCCUUUUGUUGGGAAAGAAAAGCAGCAGGUUAAUACCCCGCUGUUCUGACGGUACCCAAAGAAUAAGCACCGGCUAACUUCGUG